rnacentral:rRNA from 1 species
CAGUAGCCGCGGGAAAACGAGGGGUGCAAGCGUUAUUCGGAUUGAUUGGGUGUAAAGGGUGUGCAGACGGCUUAUUAAGUCACUUGUUAAAUUCUUCGGCCUAACUGAAGGUCUGCAAGUGAUACUGAUGAGCUAGAGGGUGGAAGAGAGAAGUGGAAUUCUCGGAGUAGCGGUAAAAUGCGUAGAUCUCGAGAGGAACACCAAUGGCGAAGGCAGCUUCUUGGUCCAUUCCUGACGUUCAUACACGAAAGCGUGGGGAGCAAACAGGAUUAGAUACCCCAGUAGUCCCUGUCUCUUAUAC